rnacentral:lncRNA from 1 species
CUAGAUUGUAAAAUAAAGCAUCACAGCAAACAAAAUAAUUAAGCUAGCAUAAAGGUAAAUAAUAGGCUAGACAACUAAUUUUGUACAGAUAGGUCUCUGGAAAUAGGAAAAGCGAGUAAAUGUUUUAUCAAAAUACGAGUGGUCAAUCCCAUGUUCGGUUUAUGCAAGCUCCGUAUGACAAUGGUGUCGUUGAGUCUCACGGUGAGACUCUUCAACUCCGGUAUGUACAUGUAAACAAAGAUAAGAAAAGAAAUAAAAAUUAGCAAGCAUGUAAUGGCGAAGUAUCAAAAUGAACAAUGAAAUUUCUAGCAAAUAACAAUAAGCAAACUAAAAAGAAAACAGUCAUAUGGGAGAAGCACAACAAGGAUUAUAACCAUAUAACAAAUUAAGAGCAUCAACUUCAUCUCCCUAAUACGACAAUUUAUGGUCUACUUAAAUAUACAUAAUCUCAUAACCAUGAUCCUAGGAUGGUAUUAAAGAGAGUUUGCAUUUAGAGUAAUAGGGACAAAUGACAACAUUAUUUACACAAGACUACUAAUUAAUUCAUUUAGUUAAAG